ACGGGUGAGUAACGCGUGGGAAUCUACCGUGCCCUGCGGAAUAGCUCCGGGAAACUGGAAUUAAUACCGCAUACGCCCUACGGGGGAAAGAUUUAUCGGGGUAUGAUGAGCCCGCGUUGGAUUAGCUAGUUGGUGGGGUAAAGGCCUACCAAGGCGACGAUCCGUAGCUGGUCUGAGAGGAUGAUCAGCCACAUUGGGACUGAGACACGGCCCAAACUCCUACGGGAGGCAGCAGUGGGGAAUAUUGGACAAUGGGCGCAAGCCUGAUCCAGCCAUGCCGCGUGAGUGAUGAAGGCCUUAGGGUUGUAAAGCUCUUUCACCGGAGAAGAUAAUGACGGUAUCCGGAGAAGAAGCCCCGGCUAACUUCGUGCCAGCAGCCGCGGUAAUACGAAGGGGGCUAGCGUUGUUCGGAAUUACUGGGCGUAAAGCGCACGUAGGCGGAUAUUUAAGUCAGGGGUGAAAUCCCAGAGCUCAACUCUGGAACUGCCUUUGAUACUGGGUAUCUUGAGUAUGGAAGAGGUAAGUGGAAUUCCGAGUGUAGAGGUGAAAUUCGUAGA
rnacentral:rRNA from 1 species